AGAAUGAACGCUGGCGGCGUGCUUAACACAUGCAAGUCGCACGAGAACUCUUCUGCUUGCAGAAGAUAGUAAAGUGGCGCACGGGUGAGUAACGCGUGGGUAAUCUACCUCUGAAUUGGGGAUAACAUUGUGAAAGCGAUGCUAAUACCGAAUAAUAUCCCGAGAACCUAGGUUUUUGGGAUCAAAGGUGGCCUCUACAUGUAAGCUACUGUUUAGAGAUGAGCCCGCGUACCAUUAGCUUGUUGGUAGGGUAAUGGCCUACCAAGGCAACGAUGGUUAGCUGGUCUGAGAGGAUGAUCAGCCACACUGGAACUGACACACGGUCCAGACUCCUACGGGAGGCAGCAGUGAGGAAUUUUGCGCAAUGGGGGAAACCCUGACGCAGCAACGCCGCGUGAGUGAUGAAGGCUUUCGAGUCGUAAAGCUCUGUCAAGUGAGAAGAACCUGUCCCGCGAUAAUACCGCGGGAUACUGACGGUAUCACUGAAGGAAGCACCGGCUAACUCCGUGCCAGCAGCCGCGGUAAUACGGGGGGUGCAAGCGUUAUUCGGAAUUAUUGGGCGUAAAGGGCGCGUAGGCGGUCUUUUAAGUCAGAUGUGAAAGCCCGGGGCUCAACCCCGGAAGAGCAUUUGAAACUAAUGGACUUGAGUAUGGGAGAGGGAAGUGGAAUUCCUGGUGUAGAGGUGAAAUUCGUAGAUAUCAGGAGGAACACCGGUGGCGAAGGCGACUUCCUGGACCAAUACUGACGCUGAGGCGCGAAGGCGUGGGGAGCAAACAGGAUUAGAUACCCUGGUAGUCCACGCAGUAAACGGUGAACACUAGGUGUAGCGGGUAUUGACCCCUGCUGUGCCGCAGUUAACGCAUUAAGUGUUCCGCCUGGGGAGUACGACCGCAAGGUUAAAACUCAAAGGAAUUGACGGGGGCCCGCACAAGCGG
rnacentral:rRNA from 1 species